AGAAGUGUUUUCCGCGUUGGACCGCACACAAGUCUGUUGGAAUACAGCGGCAUAGUGGUGAUACCCCAUUACACGGUGCGGACGCCCAGCGCUUUGUGAUACACUUUCGACGAGUCGAGUUGUUUGGGAAUGCAGCUCAAAUUGGGUGGUAAAUUCCAUCUAAAGCUAAAUAUUGGCGAGAGACCGAUAGCGAACAAGUACCGUGAGGGAAAGAUGAAAAGCACUUUGGAAAGAGAGUUAAAAGUACGUGAAAUUGUUGGAAGGGAAACGCUUGAAGUCAGACUUGCUUGCCGGGCUUGCUCGGUUUGCAGGCCAGCAUCAGUUUUCCGGGGCGGAUAAUGGCAGUUAGAAUGUAGCAGUCUCGGCUGUGUUAUAGCUUUCUGCUGGAUACGCCCUGGGGGACUGAGGAACGCAGCGUGCCGUAUGGCGAGGGCUUCGGCCCUUUCACGCUUAGGAUGCUGGUGGAAUGGCUUU
rnacentral:rRNA from 1 species